rnacentral:rRNA from 1 species
AACGAACGCUGGCGGCGUGUUUAAGACAUGCAAGUCGCACGGGAUCAUUUUGGUAGCAAUACUCGGAUGGUCUAGUGGCGCACGGGUGAGUAACACGUGAAUGACAUGCCCUUGAGUGGGGAAUAGCCCAGGGAAACUUGGAUUAAUACCCCAUGGUAUCGCAAGAUUAAAGGUGGCCGCAAGGCUGUCGCUCAAGGAUUGGUUCGCGCCCUAUCAGCUUGUUGGCGGGGUAACGGCCCACCAAGGCUACGACGGGUACCUGGUCUGAGAGGACGAUCAGGCACACUGGAACUGAGACACGGUCCAGACACCUACGGGUGGCAGCAGUCGAGAAUAAUUCACAAUGGGGGCAACCCUGAUGGUGCAACGCCGCGUGGAGGAUGACGGUCUUCGGAUUGUAAACUCCUGUCAUCCGGGAGCAAGACCUGGCCAUGAAUAGUGGACAGGG